rnacentral:misc_RNA from 1 species
GUGAAUCAUCAAAUCUUUGAACGCAAAUUGCGCCUUUUUCGGAAGGCAUGUCUGUUUGAGUGCACCAUUUAGCAAAUAAUGUGCAUCGUUUUUUGUUGCACACGUUGAUGAGCUUUCGAAGUAUUAUAAAUUUUUGGUGGCGCAUAAUGGACAGCGUGAAUUGUUUUUGCAGUUCGAGGGUAUAAAAAUCAUUGCUGGGGUUGUGAAGAAACAUAAUCGCGCAGGGGGGUUGGCAA